CAGAUGAGUGCAGAGCUGGACUCUGGGCUCAAUCUCAUGACCCUGAGAUCAUGACCUGAGCUGAAAUCAAGAAUCGGGAGGUUUAACCGACUGAGCCACCCAGGUGCCCCACAACUAUUCUUAUAUAAGAAGCAUACACAAUACACUUACAGUUCUUUUAUGGAAUUUUGAAUCAUAGGUCUCAGAUCUGUGAGAAAUCCCAAGAAAUCAUCUAAUCCAGCUUUCUCCCUUUAAGGAAUUGUGUUUUUUUUUUAAUAGAUAAAGCAAACAUAGCAAAAGUUUGAGAUUUAUACAAGUUUCAUCUUAAUGAUUAGAUGUGUCUGAGAGGUCUAUACCUGACGAAAGAUAUGGGUAACAAAAGGCAGGGAGCAACGCUUCACAGCCCUACACAUGACCACGCAUCAGACCCUGUUACCAAUGUCAUAUCUACCCCUCUCCUUCUUUGCUCAAAAAAUUCUUGAUGUUGUUCCUGGGGAUGAUCUGCCUUGGUCCUGUUGAUGAUUUAUUUUUUGGCCUAAGAAAAUUAUGUAAUCCAUCUUUCCUUUCCAGAUACUUGACUUUCUUGCCUCUGUUGCAGUUGAAAGAAGUGUCCGUGUGACUAGUUUGGGCCAAAAAUAGAUAGAGGAAGUAUGCUGAGGCUCUUCUGGUAAGGAUUUUGUUUCUCUGAUGAAAAGAAAGAUGUGGCUGGUGCCACUCUUUCCCAUUCAUCCAACCUUGGAUGCGGAAUGAUACGUGGAGAUGUGGUCACAGGCCCAGACAAGCAGAUGAAGGACUGGUGUAAUGACAAUGGCAGAAUCAAUCCAAAACUACACACAGGUCAUCCUUUAGGAAUCACUAAAAUGCACAGUGAAAAAACAAAAGACUCAUGGAAAAAGGAACCAGUGUUUACUGUGUUUGCCACUGGCCUGGCUCUACACCACAUGUCUUCACGUGUAAUCCUCACAAAUCUCACAAGAGAAUUUCAGUAUUUGCCCAGCUAUCCAGAAGCCCAGACACUGAGCAGUGUGAGUUUCUCUUCAUUUACCCUCCAGCUACAACAUCGCUGCCUUUCAAGUCACAUCUCCUGAAUGUUUGCCAGGACUUCCAAGUUUGAAAUGUUCCUGGUUGAUAGUGACUAUCUGGAUUGUAGCAGUAAAGUCACCGUGGACCAGAAAACCCUGCUGUGUUCUAUAUUUAGCAUGCGGUGCUCAUUCUGAUUUUUACACGUUUGAGGUAGAGGCGGGUGAUGCCUGCAUGUGCAAGGAGGAAGUAGAAGAGACACAUCACAAAGGGCUUUGCUAAAAUCUUCCAAGAAAGGUGAGGAUUUUCCAUUCAGUAUUUUGAAUUUGUUUACUUGAAAUAUUUUACCGGAGUUGCUAUAACUCUAAGCUGCUUUGGCAAAUCACACCAUGAAGACAAAUGUCGCAUACAACAGGUCCUUUCUAGGAAACAGCAAGAAAAGUGAAUGGCUACUCCCUAGUUCCAAUGAUUGGGCAAAUUCAACCUUCAGCCAUUAAAUAAGUUCCAAAAUGGAUUUCACAGAUGCUCAGGGUGGGGUUGAUACUGGGUUAGUUUUGAUAGAGAAUCUCUUCCACGGCCUUGUAUAAAGCAAAUGCCACGAGUAAAAUUAUGCUAAGGGUCCCAGGCCACUAACUCCUCCAGGACACCAUCAUAUCUGUACACUUAGAUGACCACUGUGUGUGUGUGUGUGUGUGUGUGUGUGUGUGUGUGUGUGUGUGUGUGUGUGGAGGGUUACAGUUUCCUACCCUGAUGAAGUGGUGUGCCUUAGUAAUACAUGGGGAACGCUGCUUAUAAAAUUGGCCAUGUCCAGUUCUAUCCUACGCCACACUAUCAUGCUCAGUAAAGAGAAGAUCUUGCUGUCAUCGAGUUGCCCGACUUGAGCCAGGUGCCCAGUGUAAUCCACUAUCAGAAGCCAUUCAGAAGCGCUGUUGCCCAAGAAGUGGCUGUGUAGGUCUUUACCCAGUGACUAUCUUGCAUGCGGUGAAGAGAAAGCCUAUUGUCAUAACAAUGUAACCACUCUCCCCCCCCCCCCCGCCCCCCGCUGCCCCAGGCCUCCCUACACACAAAUGAAAUUAGCGCUAAAACGUCUGGGCGCCGGGGUGGCUCAGUCGUUAAGCAUCUGCCUUCAGCUCAGGUCAUGAUCCCAGGGUCCUGGGAUC